UUGACCUCGGAUCAGGUAGGGAUACCCGCUGAACUUAAGCAUAUCAAUAAGCGGAGGAAAAGAAACCAACAGGGAUUGCCCUAGUAACGGCGAGUGAAGCGGCAACAGCUCAAAUUUGAAAUCUGGCUCUUUCAGAGUCCGAGUUGUAAUUUGCAGAGGGCGCUUUGGCUUUGGCAGCGGUCCAAGUUCCUUGGAACAGGACGUCACAGAGGGUGAGAAUCCCGUACGUGGUCGCUAGCUAUUGCCGUGUAAAGCCCCUUCGACGAGUCGAGUUGUUUGGGAAUGCAGCUCUAAAUGGGAGGUAAAUUUCUUCUAAAGCUAAAUAUUGGCCAGAGACCGAUAGCGCACAAGUAGAGUGAUCGAAAGAUGAAAAGCACUUUGGAAAGAGAGUCAAACAGCACGUGAAAUUGUUGAAAGGGAAGCGCUUGCAGCCAGACUUGCUUGCAGUUGCUCAUCCGGGCUUUUGCCCGGUGCACUCUUCUGCAGGCAGGCCAGCAUCAGUUUGGGCGGUGGGAUAAAGGUCUCUGUCACGUACCUCUCUUCGGGGAGGCCUUAUAGGGGAGACGACAUACCACCAGCCUAGA
rnacentral:rRNA from 1 species